GAUGAACGCUGGCGGCGUGCCUAACACAUGCAAGUCGAGCGAACGGACGAUAAGCGCUUGCUCUGAUGUUAGCGGCGGACGGGAGAGUAACACGUGGAUACCCUACCUAUAAGUUUGGGAGAACUUAGGUAAGCCGGCGCUCAUACCGACUACUUUUUAGAUCCGCAUGGUUGAAAAGUGUCAUACGGUCUUGCUGUCACGUAUAGACCGAUCCGCGCUGCAUUAGCUAGUUGGUAAGGUAACGGCUUACCAAGGCAACGAUGCGUAGCCGACCUGAGAGGGUGAUCAGCCACACUGGAACUGAGACACGGUCCAGACUCCUACGGGAGGCAGCAGUAGGGAAUAUUCCGCAAUGGGCGAAAGCCUGACGGAGCAACGCCGCGUGAGUGAUGAAGGUCUUCGGAUCGUAAAGCUCUGUUAUUAGGGAAGAACAGAUGUGUAUGUAACUGUGCACAUCUUGACGGUACCUAAUCAGAAAGCCCCGGCUAACUACGUG
rnacentral:rRNA from 1 species